GGUUUGAUGGUGUGUGACUAGGUUUGAUGAUGAGUGUGAAAGAAUUGAUAGUUUGUGUGAGAGGUUAGUUAUAGACCGCCAUAGGCCCUGUGGUCCUCCUCAAAGUCCACGCUUGGUGAACAACUUGCAGAGCUAUAGGCAAAGAGACCUUGGGAUUGCUUGGAUUAAAAGUGUGCAGACUUGCACAACCUGCAAUGUACGCAGUUUAUCCUACUCUGGUUUUUAAUUAGCUAGUAUGCUUAUAGUGUCUGAAAUUACUGACAAGUUAAGCCAAGAAACAAAGCAUUUUGCUCACAUCUCUCCUUGGCUUCCCAUCCCUGGUUUAAACAAUGAAGAUUAAUACAGGCUUUCUGUAGCUGCUAUUCAGUCCUACCUGUGCAUCAGUUAGGAAGACCUCUCCUCCAUUUGACACAAGGGCUGAAAGAAGCAGGGCCACCUUUUCCUUUUAAUAAUUAAGCAAAAAAGUGCUGGACACUGGAGAGCAAUAAAGUGAGAGAAAGUUUUUGUUUCUUUAUACAAACAGAUAUAGAUUCUCCUGACCAAGGGAAUACAGUGUAUGCAGACGUGAACGAUGGCAAUGUAAGAAAAGACAAAAGAUCAGAGAGUAUAAAUGUGGCAUCCAUUUACGAAACAGUUGAUGAGCUCCGAGGAACAUCAGAUAAGCCUCAGACGCUUUAUGACAAGGUGACAUUUGCACGUCCUGCUCCUCUGGGCCCCUCCCCCUCCUCACCUUACCAAGUCGUGCUGUGAAGAUAUCAGCAAAGCUUUAUCUUAUUUUGUAAUGUCUGUACACAUUGUAGAUUCUUAUGUUGUCCAUAUACAUAUAUAUAUGUCUUGACUUUUUUUUUAUUCAGUACUUUUGAAAAUGAACUUGUGAGAAGAUAUUUGCACUGUUAUACUUUGGCAGACGUUGUUUGAUUGCUAUCUUUUGUAAAAAGUUCUAAGGAUGGCAUCUUAAUUCGGUUUAGACUUGCUUUUAAUGUACUAUGCAGAAAAAUGGCUUAUAGAGGUGGAUGGUGAUGACAUGUAAGAUCAGAUGUUUUGUCAUGCUAAACCUAAAACAAUAACUACUGUACUGUCAGAGAACAAGACAACAAGUAAGAUGUGGAAAUACGCAGCUGAAAUAAUCACAUUAACCAGGACAGUGAUAAUUAUACAGUAUAAAGUUAGCCUCCUCUAACGGCAGAAUGCUAACAACAUUGUGGAGAUAUAAUCAUUAUAAUCUGAUAGAAGACAAAAGUUGGCACGCUUCUUUGAAAACUGUCUUGUCAACUUGGCUACAGUUCCUCACAUGACACAUUCUGAUAUAAAACCAACCAUGUAUAUCUCACUAUUAUUUAAAUCAUUUUUCAUAUUUGACCAAUUAAAAAAGAGGUAAAAGAAAAGUGAUAAAAGAGUGUUACCUCCGUUGAUUUUUGUCUUUAAAAACAUUAUUGAAACAUAUUAUUUUGAUGAAAGCUAGCUUUCACCCUCCUAGCACUGGUGGCAUUAUGUGAUUAGGGGAGUGUUAACAAUUGGAAUGGGAUACGGCUAAACUGGGCAGAAGAUCAAGAGGUGCCCUCAGGGAUGUACUUUGGAAGCAAUGAACAUGAAAAAACAUUAAACGCAGUUAAUUCAUCAUGGAAAGAAUCAGAUGCCCAACCAACUGAGAACACAUUAUUUAAGAAUGUAUAGAAAGGACGGUUUUAUUCUUUUAAAGCUUUUUUCAAUAUAAACACACAGCUAGAGGUCCCACACUAAGCUGAAUUCAAGACGGAGUACUACGACUAAUAACAACAAUAAAUAAAAAAGAAAUAAAAUGAUAAUACUGACACAUGAUACAAAAUGAUAAAAUGAUAGACAUGAGCAAAAUAUAUGACAAUGGGUUUACAGUUUAUCAGCUUCUAUUAUUGUUCAUCAAAACACUGUAAACAUUCUGUAAGGAAGACUCCUCUAUCUAUAAUCUCGUUUUACUCAAAACACUAAAUCGAGAUCAGAGUCAUAGGCAGUCCAAAAAAACAAAAACAAAACAGAAUAGAUCACAACACAGUUUAUGAAGGUCCUUAUAAAGGGAGGUUAAUGAGCUGCAGGUCAGACAGGUUAAGGAGUCACUAGGAUGCAAAUCACUCAGGUGAUGCUGACCUGUGGUGGUGGUGGUGGGUAUUACACCUGACACAUUCAACAAAGCAUUAAAAGAUUAUUUUCUCAAAGAAAACACAAUAACGAAACAUUAAGGCAUCAUACAUAAAUCAAAUAAUCUAAAGGUCCAGUGGUUUAACGUAUCUAGAAGACAAGCGUAAAAUAUGCAAAUUAUAAAAAAUAUGCAUAAUAUUCAAGAUAUGCAU
ensembl:lncRNA